GUACUGCCCUCAGGCCCCACGCCACCUGUCCCUGAGAUGGUAACUGACGUGCUGUAAGGACGGAGUCAGCCCGCUUGUUAUGUGCUGUCUGCCGCUGCUUUCACGCUGUAGCACUCAGGCGAGUUGAGUGGUUGUCCCAGAGAGGGUAUGUCUCUCAAAGCCUAACCUGUGUUGAUAGAUUGAACGUGUUUACAACUGGUUCUGGGGGCUACUUGUAACCACGAUUAAGGAACAAUCUUUUCCUAAAUUUGUGGGAAUUUUUAACACGUUCUCAGACUCCUUCACUCUCCCGUAGAAAGCUUCAUGUUGCGUUUCAAUGUCAUAGACUCAAAAUCCUCUUGUGGUCCUUGAGGCCCCUGGAAUUGGGCCUUGGUCGACCCCUGUCCCCCGGCCCCGGCCCCCUCUACGUUCCUGUCACACCAGCCGUGGGCCAUCCUACACACAUGCAGCUCUCUUUCUGGAACAUGAUUCCUUCACGUCUUGUGGCUGGGGCCUCUGACUGUUGGAUCUCAGCUCAGCUGUCACAACACCAGACAGCAGCUGGGACUCAGGUCACCCAGCCCAGGCGCUGGCUGUCCCAUUUCUGUGCUGUUUGUUUGUAGCACAUGUCACUGGGGGAAAUUAGCAUAUUUAACUCUUUACCCCCGUAUCUCCCAGCUCUCACCGAUGCUCCCAGACUGUGAUCUAAUGGGGGCUCUUCCCGGCUCCUUCCCACCUGCAUCCCGAGCCCCGAGAAGCAACAGAGGACAAGGGCCCCAUGUUUGGGGAUCAUCAUAGUGGGGCUAUUACCGUUCUAUGGCAGUAAUACUACUGUGCAAAUAGACUGUUACAGGGAUUGAAAUUGCUUCCACUUUGUGUCAUCUCAGCGGAGCCUGACGAAGACCACAUAAGCCCCUUUUAGACAGAAGGAAACGGAUUCAAGCGCCAUGACUAAAUAAAUGAUUGGCUCAAAGACACAGGAAGUGGCAGAGCAGAGACGUUUCGACUCUAAGACGAGUUCUUUUUGGAUUAUGAGAACCAUGGAAAUGCUCUUAAGAGUUUGCAAACCCUGAAUCUGCUUCACUUCCCCCACGUUUAAGCAGCGUGUGUCCCUGAAGGUGGGCGACCUCUGCCUGGUUGCAGGUUAUCAUUCUGCUCCAGGACAUGCCGUCGCUGAGGACGGCUCUGGGUCACUCAGCAGAACCAAGCGGGCUGCGACCCCACUUCCCUUGAAACGCUGUGCACCAAACGCCCCAGAUGCAGAAACCCUAACUUCAGGUGCUGGGUGGAAAGAAUCAGAACGUGCUCUGAAUGGAAAGGGAAGGUGACAAAAUCCUGGGAAGCAAGACCAGGGCUCCUGAAUCGGCAGGCAGAAAAGGGAAGCAAAUGUUUGGUCCCGACGCCAGUGAACACACAUCUCUCCUCGGACGGCUGCCUCUGAGUCAAGGAAAGGGAAGCUGGAAAGCGUCAUAUUCCCUGCCUGAAACGAGGAGUGAGGGGGAGAAAAUAGGAGAACCAACACAAGGAAAUGAAUGUUUAUAUAAGUUAUCAUUUUUCUGUAACGAGUAACCACAUGCCUGAUCCCCGGGUUUAGAGAAAUCUGCCUUUAUACCCGACGUGCUGUGACCUCAGGCCCAUUACUGGAAGGCUCUGAGCCUUCAUUCUUUUUGUAAAACAGAGAUUACUUUGUAUACGCUUGGGACCGUGGUGAGGCUUCCCUGCGAGGUGGUGUGUGGAGGCAUCCAGCGUGCUUCAGGCAGCGACUUGUCGCCCGUCUUUGCGUGUCAUCCUGACGCUACCAUCAUUCCGGUGGAAGGUCCAUGGAGGCAAGCGCCUGGUGCUCGUUAGCCAGGUUGAAUUACUCUGCAGCCGUGGACACGGAGCACAGAUUCCUCCGAGCCCCCAGAGCCCCUCACCCCUGCCUGUGAGGCCCUGGCAGCUCUGAGCACAGACGUGUCUGUUGUUAGAUGGAGGGUCUGGGGGGCCUUUCUCUGAGCGUCACUCAACUAUGUUUCAUUCACAGAAACCCCACUUUGGAGACGCCCAGGGGAUUGGGUCUGCACCCUGCCUCUCCCCUGAACCCCCAAGAGCCCCCAACCUGCCCCUCUGCAGGCGUGUUGAGCUCACAGCAGGUGUGAAUGGGCCUGGAGUCCCCUUCCAGUCAGGGUAGCCGAGAGCCGGAGCAGAGGGGAGAGGGCGUUUCAUAAGCGUGCUGUGUGCUUUGUUCCAAAAAUCCGCGGGUGGGCCUGGAGCAAGGAAGCUGGCUGCGUGUGCUGUCGCUGGGCUGUCCCCGCAGGAAGACGGGGCUUGUACACUCGUGGCUCAGAGCUGACUCUUUUGGAAAUGGACCCUCGGCAGUAACCGAGGGCUGAGACUGGGUUUUCAGACCCUGGGGAGGCCGAGAGAGAGGGGAGAGAUGAAGAAGGAUCUGUGUCAGGAAUGGCCUGGGGGUCCCAGCAAACCGUCCCACCCCUGCUGGACAGUCCUCCUCAGCCUCGGCCUCUGUCUCCGAAGGCACCGCUGGCAGCUGCGCUGGACACAGCGGCAGGUUCCGUGAGGGCCGCACGGGCAUCCGCAGCGACACAGCCCCGCAGGAGCAGGAACCUGGGGCCAGGAGGGGGUGGGAGAGACAGCGGCGUUCGCGGGGCACCCCAGGCCUGCACCCAGCCGGCCGGGAGCUCCCGGAGGGUGGCCUCGGGUGAAGGGAGGAGAUGGGGGGAGGCCUCUGCUCUGGGGGAGAGUGAGGCCUGUUCUAGAACGUCAACAGAUUGGAGCUGAGUGUGCGUGUGAGUUCAGCAAACGUGUGUACAGUGUGGGACCUGCCGGCUGCACCGUCCACCCAGCGGGCACGUGCGGUGAGGGCUCCCUGUGGGCGGGAUCACAGCAUCCCGUAGCCUUGAACUAGCCCUCAGCAGGUGCCAAAUGCGCUGAAAAAGCUUUUGAUAUUUUCAGUGUAAACCGUAUACGUGGUCAGAACAGACCGUUUUAUUUUACAGCCUGGCUCUGUGAAGUUGUGCAUGUGUAUGUGUGUGUGUCCAUGUGUACACAGGUGUGCCCCUGUAGGCACUGUGCCUGCGUGUGUGUGUGUGAAAAGAGGGGUAUCACGGGCUGCUUCCUGGCCCAGGCCCCUCUGCAGGCCCGCCAUGUGCGGAUCCCCGAGCAGCGGGCGGUGUGGUCCCCGCCUUCUCGCCAGGAUCCCUAGGCCACGGCAUGGAGACUGUGGGAUGGACAGGUGGCCACACCUGUAAUUUCGAGCGGGGACCUGGGCUCUCCCUCACCCCUACGCCUCCACCUGGGUGGUCCCGAGAAAUCUCUGAAGGCCUCCGGCCUGUGCUCUUCCUAUUGGCACAAAAGGUUGGGAUGGGGGGCCCGGCCAGGAGCGCGGGGGGCCGUCUCUAGUCUAGCGAUAAGGUAUCCCCAGAGUACAGACGAUUCUCUUCUUGAUUUCCAACCUGUGUAUCUUGUAUUUCUCUUUCUUGCCUCAAUGGACAGGCUAGGACUUUGGGUACAAGGUUAAAUAGAAGAGGUGAGAGGGUUCUUGGCUUCGUCCUAACCAUAGUCUCUUACAAUUAAGUACAAUGUCAGAUGGAGGUUUUUGUCAGUUCCAUUGCUUGUUCACUUGCCUCUUCUACCCUUUACCACUGUGAGAAAGAUCCCUUCUAUUCAUAGUUACCUGAGAGUUUUAUCAAGAAUAGAUGUGGAAACUUGUGAAAUUAUUUUAUGUUUCUUCCAUAAGAAAAGUGUGUUUUUUCCUUCACUUGGUUAAUGUGGUGAGUUAUACUAAUUGAUGGAUGAAUGUUAAAAACCACACUUGCAUUGCUCAGACAGAUCCAAACUUGGCACGACGAUUUACAUUUCUUUGUACAUGUGUAAAUAUGUAUUUACUGUAUAGCAUUUGCUAGCACUUUAUGAAGUACUUCUGUCUAUUUAAUGAAGGAUAUCUUUCUGUAGUUUUCUUUUUUUACGACUUUUUGGUUGUGAUAUUAUUGUAAU